rnacentral:rRNA from 1 species
CCUAUGAAUAGUUUAAAUGGCCGCAGUACUUUGACUGUGCAAAGGUAGCAUAAUCAUUUGUCUUUUAAUUGGAGGCUGGAAUGAAGGAGGCGACGAAAUUUGGGCUAUUUGGCUUUGAUGUGAAAUUAACAUAAAGGUCAAAAGGCCUUUAUAGACCAAAGGGACGAUAAGACCCUAUAAAACUUUACUAUGUAAGGGCUACUUAGGUGUAGUCUGAGAUAUAGUUUAGCUGGGGCGGCUUACAUAAAAACAAUUUAAGUAUAAAUAUUUUAAAUAGAUUUAUAGAACUUUACUAGGAAAUGAACAAGUUACUUUAGGGAUAACAGCAUAAUUCUCCCAGAGAGUCCUAAUUGGCGGGAGAGCUUAUGACCUCGAUGUUGAAUUGGGGUGUCUAAUGUAAGUAGAAAUAUAUUAAGAUAGUCUGUUCGACUAUUAAAUUCCC